rnacentral:rRNA from 1 species
UACGAAGGGGGCUAGCGUUGCUCGGAAUCACUGGGCGUAAAGCGCACGUAGGCGGAUUGUUAAGUCAGGGGUGAAAUCCUGGAGCUCAACUCCAGAACUGCCUUUGAUACUGGCGAUCUUGAGUCCGGGAGAGGUGAGUGGAACUGCGAGUGUAGAGGUGAAAUUCGUAGAUAUUCGCAAGAACACCAGUGGCGAAGGCGGCUCACUGGCCCGGUACUGACGCUGAGGCACGAAAGCGUGGGGGAGCAAACAGG